CCUACGGGAGGCAGCAGUAGGGAAUCUUCCACAAUGGGCGAAAGCCUGAUGGAGCAACGCCGCGUGAGUGAUGAAGGCCUUCGGGUUGUAAAACUCUGUCAUUCGGGACGAACCGGAGUCUGAGGAAAUGCAGACUCUCUGACGGUACCGGAGGAGGAAGCCCCGGCUAACUACGUGCCAGCAGCCGCGGUAAUACGUAGGGGGCAAGCGUUGUCCGGAUUCACUGGGCGUAAAGCGCGCGCAGGCGGUGAUGUAAGUCUGAGGUGAAAACCCGAAGCUCAACUUCGGGACUGCCUUGGAUACUGCGUCACUUGAGGAUAGGAGAGGCAAGGGGGAAUUCCACGUGUAGCGGUGAAAUGCGUAGAGAUGUGGAGGAACACCUGUGGCGAAGGCGCCUUGCUGGCCUAUUUCUGACGCUGAGGCGCGAAAGCGUGGGGAGCAAACAGGAUUAGAUACCCUGGUAGUCCACGCUGUAAACGAUGAGUGCUAGGUGUAGGUGGGCUCAUACCCAUCUGUGCCGAAGCUAACGCAUUAAGCACUCCGCCUGGGGAGUACGGUCGCGAGACUGAAACUCAAAUGAAUUGACGG
rnacentral:rRNA from 1 species